rnacentral:tRNA from 1 species
ACCUGGCUGGCUCAGUCCGUAGGGCAUGAGAUCCUUGAUCUCAAGGUUGUGAGUUCAAGCCCCAUGUUGGGUG